rnacentral:rRNA from 1 species
UACGAAGGGGGCUAGCGUUGCUCGGAAUCACUGGGCGUAAAGGGUGCGUAGGCGGGUCUUUAAGUCAGGGGUGAAAUCCUGGAGCUCAACUCCAGAACUGCCUUUGAUACUGAGGAUCUUGAGUACGGGAGAGGUGGGUGGAACUGCGAGUGUAGAGGUGAAAUUCGUAGAUAUUCGCAAGAACACCAGUGGCGAAGGCGGCUCACUGGCCCGUUACUGACGCUGAGGCGCGAAAGCGUGGGGAGCAAACAGG